rnacentral:ncRNA from 2 species
AGCAGCCGCGGUAAUUCCAGCUCCAAUAGCGUAUAUUAAAGUUGUUGCAGUUAAAAAGCUCGUAGUUGAAUUUCGGGAUUAAUUUAUUGGUCGUGCUAUUGUACGUACUGGUAUUAUUGAUUCCUACCUUCUGACGAACCACGAUGUCAUUAAUUUGGUGUCAUGGGGAAUCAGGACUGUUACUUUGAAAAAAUUAGAGUGUUUAAAGCAGGCUCACGCUUGAAUACAUUAGCAUGGAAUAACGAAAUAGGACGUUUGAUUCUAUUUUGUUGGUUUCUAGGAUCGACGUAAUGAUUAAUAGGGAUAGUUGGGGGCAUUAGUAUUCAAUUGUCAGAGGUGAAAUUCUUGGAUUUAUUGAAGACUAACUACUGCGAAAGCAUUUGCCAAGGAUGUUUUCAUUAAUCAAGAACGAAAGUUAGGGGAUCGAAGACGAUCAGAUACCGUCGUAGUCUUAACCAUAAACUAUGCCGACUAGGGAUCGGAUGAUGUUAAUUUUUUAAUGACUCAUUCGGCGCCUUACG